rnacentral:rRNA from 1 species
GGACGGGUGAGUAAUGCCUAGGAAAUUGCCUUGAUGUGGGGGAUAACCAUUGGAAACGAUGGCUAAUACCGCAUAAUGCCUACGGGCCAAAGAGGGGGACCUUCGGGCCUCUCGCGUCAAGAUAUGCCUAGGUGGGAUUAGCUAGUUGGUGAGGUAAUGGCUCACCAAGGCGACGAUCCCUAGCUGGUCUGAGAGGAUGAUCAGCCACACUGGAACUGAGACACGGUCCAGACUCCUACGGGAGGCAGCAGUGGGGAAUAUUGCACAAUGGGCGAAAGCCUGAUGCAGCCAUGCCGCGUGUAUGAAGAAGGCCUUCGGGUUGUAAAGUACUUUCAGUUGUGAGGAAGGGGGUGUCGUUAAUAGCGGCAUCUCUUGACGUUAGCAACAGAAGAAGCACCGGCUAACUCCGUGCCAGCAGCCGCGGUAAUACGGAGGGUGCGAGCGUUAAUCGGAAUUACUGGGCGUAAAGCGCAUGCA